rnacentral:rRNA from 1 species
AACGAACGCUGGCGGCAGGCCUAACACAUGCAAGUCGAACGCUCCAGCAAUGGAGAGUGGCAGACGGGUGAGUAACGCGUGGGAACCUACCCAGUGGUACGGAAUAGCCCGGGGAAACCCGGGGUAAUACCGUAUACGCCCUUACGGGGAAAGAUUUAUCGCCAUUGGAUGGGCCCGCGUCGGAUUAGCUAGUUGGUGAGGUAACGGCUCACCAAGGCGACGAUCCGUAGCUGGUCUGAGAGGAUGAUCAGCCACACUGGGACUGAGACACGGCCCAGACUCCUACGGGAGGCAGCAGUGGGGAAUAUUGGACAAUGGGCGAAAGCCUGAUCCAGCCAUGCCGCGUGAGUGACGAAGGUCUUCGGAUUGUAAAGCUCUUUUAGCGGGGACGAUAAUGACGGUACCCGCAGAAUAAGCCCCGGCUAACUUCGUGCCAGCAGCCGCGGUAAUACGAAGGGGGCUAGCGUUGUUCGGAAUUACUGGGCGUAAAGCGCACGUAGGCGGAUUUGCC